rnacentral:rRNA from 1 species
UACGAGGGGGGCAAGCGUUAAUCGGAAUUACUGGGCGUAAAGCGUGCGUAGACGGUUAUGUAAGUCGGGUGUGAAAGCCCCGGGCUCAACCUGGGAAUGCCAUUCGAGACUGCAUAGCUAGGGUGCGGAAGAGGGAAGCGGAAUUUCCGGUGUAGCGGUGAAAUGCGUAGAUAUCGGAAGGAACACCAGUGGCGAAAGCGGCUUCCUGGUCCAGCACCGACGUUCAGGCACGAAAGCGUGGGGAGCAAACAGG